rnacentral:rRNA from 1 species
AUUGAACGCUGGCGGCAGGCCUAACACAUGCAAGUCGAGCGGAUGACGGGAGCUUGCUCCUUGAUUCAGCGGCGGACGGGUGAGUAAUGCCUAGGAAUCUGCCUGGUAGUGGGGGACAACGUUUCGAAAGGAACGUUAAUACCGCAUGCGUCCUACGGGAGAAAGCAGGGGACCUUCGGGCCUUGCGCUAUCAGAUGAGCCUAGGUCGGAUUAGCUUGUUGGUGAGGUAAUGGCUCACCAAGGCGACGAUCCGUAACUGGUCUGAGAGGAUGAUCAGUCACACUGGAACUGGGACACGGUCCAGACUCCUACGGGAGGCAGCAGUGGGGAAUAUUGGACAAUGGGCGAAAGCCUGAUCCAGCCAUGCCGCGUGUGUGAAGAAGGUCUUCGGAUUGUAAAGCGCUUUUAGUUGGGAGGAAGGGUUGUAGAUUAAUACUCUGCAAUUUUGACGUUACCGACAGAAUAAGCACUGGCUAACUCUGUGCCAGCCGCCGCCGUAAUAC